rnacentral:rRNA from 1 species
UACAGAGGCCCCAAGCGUUACUGAGAAUCACUGGGUUUAAAGGGUGCGUAGGUGGUCCGUUAAGUCCGUUGUGAAAUCCCUGGGCUCAACCCAGGAACUGCUUCGGAUACUGGCGGACUUGAGGCUAGUAGGGGUCACUGGAACUGACGGUGGAGCGGUGAAAUGCGUAGAUAUCGUCAGGAACGCCAAUGGUGAAGACAGGUGACUGGGCUAGAUCUGACACUGAGGCACGAAAGCGUGGGGAGCGAACGGG